UGAAGGCACAUACAUAAACAUAUACCU
rnacentral:sRNA from 1 species